rnacentral:rRNA from 1 species
GUACGGGAGGCAGCAGUGGGGAAUCUUGCGCUAAUGCGGGAAACCGUGACGCAGCGACGCCGCGUGGGGGAAGAAGGCCUUCGGGUUGUAAACCUCUUUCAGGAGGGACGAAGCUACUCGGGUUAAUAGCCCAGAGGGUGACGGUACCUCCAGAAGAAGCCCCGGCUAACUACGUGCCAGCAGCCGCGGUAAUACGUAGGGGGCGAGCGUUGUCCGGAUUUAUUGGGCGUAAAGAGCGUGUAGGCGGCCUGACAGGUCUGCUGUGAAAACUCGAGGCUCAACCUCGAGAUGUCGGCGGAAACCGUCUGGCUAGAGUCCGGAAGAGGAGAGUGGAAUUCCUGGUGUAGCGGUGAAAUGCGCAGAUAUCAGGAAGAACACCUAUGGCGAAGGCAGCUCUCUGGGACGGUACUGACGCUGAGACGCGAAAGCGUGGGGAGCGAACAGGCUUAGAUACCCCGGUAGA